rfam:Cavia porcellus supercont2_27 genomic scaffold, whole genome shotgun sequence.
GGGGAUUUAGCUCAGUGGCGUAAGCACCUGCCUUGCAAGCAGGUGGUCCCGAGUUCGAUCCCUA